GUUUUUUUGUUGUUUUUGUGUUUUGUUUGAAUGGU
rnacentral:sRNA from 1 species